UGGUCCCCCGGGCCCAGCUGUCUUGUCUUUUAUCUCUUUGUCUUGUAUCUUUCUUUCUACACUCUCGUCGCUGCACACGGGGAGAGACCCACCGACCCUGUGGGGCUGGUCCCUACAAAAACCCACAACUUUUUGAUCUCUGACUUGAAGUUUUUGUCUGUUUCUCCCCCUGCAGCAUCUGAUGCUGUUCAGAUGCAGAGAGAGUGGAGCUUUGCGCGGACACACCCUCUGCUCACCGCACUGUACCGCAGGCUCUUAGUGAUGCUGAGUGCAGAGGAGUUGGUUGGCCAUUUGCAAGAAGUUCUGGAAACGCAGGAGGUUCACUGGCAGCGAGUGCUCUCCUUUGUGUCUGCCCUUGUUGUCUGCUUCCCAGAAGCGCAGCAGCUGCUUGAAGGUGAGCUUUUACGAGAGCCCGGUGGUGCUGGUCAAGAGUGUGUGUAGGGGCUGUCAGCAGAGUCCCAGCUGACUGUGCGUGAGCCUCUCAGUGAAGCCCUUCCCUACCUGCCCGGAACCUGCAGCGCCUCCUGUCGAUGGAACGUUCUUCGGCAGACGCUUCCAUAAGCACUGACUGCUGCUCUGAGAGGCCAGAGUGUCCACUGCUGCUUCAUUCAGGUCUCUAGUGGUUUGCACUUGACUUGCUGUAAUUGCUGUGUAGUCUUUUAAAACUUGGUGUUUGGGUGUGCACGGUCUCCUUCUGGAAUACCUGAUCACCCAGCAUAACUCACGUCAUGUUCCUGCUGGCUGCCUUUGCCUUGCU
rnacentral:sRNA from 1 species